AACACAGCAGUUAAUGUAGGCCCAGGAGACCCCGCUGCACAUCAUUGCCAGGGGGAAGGAGGGGGAAAGGUGGCUGAGAUGCUGCCGAAGAGCGGGGCUGAUGUCAACGCAGAGCACGAGAUUGGGGAGACAGCGAUGCAUGUUGCGGCUCACCAUGGAGGACUGCAGAUGAUAAGAGCCCUGAUAGAGGAGGGAAGUGACCUCACCAGGAGAUAUUAUGUAGAACACUGCUUUUCUGUGUCAUACCAGUGUAACAUUGACAUAUAAUACACCACGUUUUGUGUGUGUGUGAUAGGCUGGAGAGAACCCUCACCGUGUCGCUGUGCGACACUGUCACGCCCAUGUGGUGGAGGAGAUCCUCACCUAUGUGUCCGAAUGAGAGAAGCUGUGAGGAGGCCCAGUGCUGUGUGAGCCAGGGCAACAAGGUGAGACUUCCCCAGAAAUGUCAACGUCUUGUCAAGUGCUCAAAUCUGUACAGCAGCCCCAGACAAUCAUGUACAGCAGCUCCAAUUUACAAGAAUGGGUUUACAAGGCAGUGAUGAAAACAUUUUAUAUGAUCGCUAAUUCAAACAUACUGUUGUUACAAAAUCACUUCUCAUUUUGUUCAUUUCAAGCUUUCACAAACAUAAAACAACUAUCUAGUUAAUAAUGUUUCUCGAACUAACACACUGUUGAGUUUCCUGUUUACUAAAGAUCAGUCAUUAAGACAAAACACAAAGAGUUGGAAUAUAAUCUGUAUACAUGUCAUUCUAUUCUGAAAUCAGGUACAUUCUGAAACAUUUUGAUGAUGUUGAUGUGAUAACACAUUUUUUAUUCAUCUCUCAAUUUAGGAUAAUACCGUUUAGGGUUUUUACUUUACUUAAAUUGUAUUAUUAAUGUAGUCUCAUACCAUGCUAAUCCACUACCAAGCAAUGUAAACAGAUGUGGAAUUAACCCCAUAACAGGUGUGUGUCUUUUUGGAUCAAGAAUUGAUCAAGAAUACUAAUAGGCUUGAUCAGAUCCUCUUUCAUAUGUUGGCAUCAUAUAAUGCACAGCCACAUGCA